AGCCCCAUCGUCUAGUGGUUAAGGAUAGGAGGCUUUGGACCUCUUGGCAUCGGUUCGAAUCCGGUUGGGGCUA
rnacentral:tRNA from 1 species